UUGGCCAAAUCAAUAAUGUUGAUUCUUUUAUUUUCGUGCGUCCCAUUUUUGUGGUUUCAGGAAAUCUAACAUUCUCGUGAAUAUAAGAUUCCAUUGUUUUACUUAAGUCAGUAUAUAUGGAAAAAUAUAUAUAUAUGAAAAUUUUAAUUCGUGUUUCCCUGAAGGAACAAAAAACUACGAAAAUUGGUACCCGACGAAUAAUUACGAAUCUACAGUAUUAGAAAGCAUAAUUCAUAUUCGAUUGAAAA
rnacentral:lncRNA from 1 species